rnacentral:rRNA from 1 species
GAGUUUGAUCCUGGCUCAGAUUGAACGCUGGCGGCAGGCCUAACACAUGCAAGUCGAGCGGUAGAGAGAAGCUUGCUUCUCUUGAGAGCGGCGGACGGGUGAGUAAUGCCUAGGAAUCUGCCUGGUAGUGGGGGAUAACGCUCGGAAACGGACGCUAAUACCGCAUACGUCCUACGGGAGAAAGCAGGGGACCUUCGGGCCUUGCGCUAUCAGAUGAGCCUAGGUCGGAUUAGCUAGUUGGUGAGGUAAUGGCUCACCAAGGCGACGAUCCGUAACUGGUCUGAGAGGAUGAUCAGUCACACUGGAACUGAGACACGGUCCAGACUCCUACGGGAGGCAGCAGUGGGGAAUAUUGGACAAUGGGCGAAAGCCUGAUCCAGCCAUGCCGCGUGUGUGAAGAAGGUCUUCGGAUUGUAAAGCACUUUAAGUUGGGAGGAAGGGCAGUAAAUUAAUACUUUGCUGUUUUGACGUUACCGACAGAAUAAGCACGGCUAACUCUGUGCCAGCCGCCG